CCCACUGGCUGACUGGCUUCAAAAGCUGGCUGGGAGCUGGCUGGCUUGCUUCAGAGGCUGGCUGGCUCCCCUCUGUGACGCUGUGCCUGCUCCCGGAGUUCCACUUCCCGCCGCUGCUGACUGCAUCCAACGGCACACAGGCUCCUCACAGUGUGGGUCACGUGUGAUGUCAGACAUCGGCCGCACACCCGCGCAAUGCAGCACUGGGAACGCUGCAAAUCACUGGGAGGCGGCAGAUGACUGAAGUUGGUCACGAUCUACCCACGGGAGCUCCGGGAGCUACCGGUAAAGCGUGAUCAACGUUUUGGCAGCCUCUGAUGCCAACAUUGCUGCCGACCAGAUCAUACGGCCCACUGAAAACCUCUGCAGUCAGGCUGGACCAUAUACAAUAGAUAAAAAUUACAGCAAUGACAUUACAGGAUCAGAUGUAUCAUCAGAACUGUUAGAUAUCAGUAUUACGAACAUAGAAUAAACACAUACACAGGACCAUAGAUUGUGAAAUAGAGAAGCUGAAGAUGCAUUACAUUUCGGGCAUCGACCGGAUUCUCCCUCUACAAAAUGUCUCCUCUGACCCUGUGAUAUGUAGGCUCUAUGCACUGUUUUAAUAUGUACUUCUUGUAAAACAGAGGCAUGUACAGUAUGGAGAGUGUUAUCAUAGCUUUUGAAUAAAGCAUCGGCAUGUGUC